rnacentral:tRNA from 1 species
CGGGGCAUAGCGUAGCUUGGUAGCGCGUCUGGUUUGGGACCAGAAGGUCGCAGGUUCAAAUCCUGCUGCCCCGACCA